rnacentral:rRNA from 1 species
GAGUUUGAUUAUGGCUCAGGAUGAACGCUAGCGGCAGGCCUAACACAUGCAAGUCGAGGGGUAGAGUGCUUCGGCACUUGAGACCGGCGUACGGGUGCGUAACGCGUGUACAAUCUACCUUUUGCUAAGGGAUAGCCCGAAGAAAUUUGGAUUAAUACCUUAUAGUAUUAUUUGGUGGCAUCAUUAAAUAAUUAAAGCUACGGUGGCAAAAGAUGAGUACGCGUCCCAUUAGCUAGUUGGAGUGGUAACGGCACACCAAGGCUACGAUGGGUAGGGGUUCUGAGAGGGAUGUCCCCCACACUGGUACUGAGACACGGACCAGACUCCUACGGGAGGCAGCAGUGAGGAAUAUUGGACAAUGGUCGGAAGACUGAUCCAGCCAUGCCGCGUGCAGGAUGACGGCCUUAUGGGUUGUAAACUGCUUUUGUAUGGGAAGAAUAAGGUCUACGUGUAGAUUGAUGACGGU